UCAUCUCCAUCGUCAUCAGUGUCGGCCUUACCCUUAUCUUCCUUACAUGCUUUCCUUUCCACUAUUUUUUUCUCUUUUUUCUUUUUUUUCCGCUUAAAACCCUUCCAGAGGUCCUUUUUCUUGAAGAUCUGUGGAAAGGACAGCACUUGAGGGAGAUCGGGGUUUCUUAGGUUCCGGUUAAAGAUUUUUUCUCCUAAUCCUCAUCGACAUUGGAUCCUCCUCCAAAUCUCCUGUAGGUGCUUUCUUUUCCUUAGAUCUCCUUUUUUUUUUUUCUUUUUUUCUUUUGCUUCGAACCCUUCCGAAGGUCUUUUUUUCGAAGAUC
rnacentral:lncRNA from 1 species